GUUAACUCCUACUGAUCAGGUGUAAGUAUUUUAGAAAUUUGUAAGACAACUUAUAUUUAGGUGUUUAUGUCUUGUUUGCUUAAGACUAGAGUAUAUGACCUAUAGUUCUAUGAAACAAAAAUACGACACUUGUUAUAUAAGUGUCAUAUGGGUGUCGGGCACCGAUUUUAAAGAGUGUCGAACCAAAGAAAAUAAAUCGUUUCUUUGGGGACACCUAUUUGACUUUUCUGACAAUUGUUGAAUGGAGUGGAGAAAGCACAACAUAUUGAAUGGAGUAAGAUCCAGUUGUUUUGUUUUGUAUUAAUUGAACUGGUUAAUAAACACUUGUUUGAAUAUGGUUUUGUAAAAUUUAGUGAAUACAUGGAUUGAGCUUUAAGAUGAACUUCCUGAACAAUGGACAUAUGUGAACUGUGAUUAAGUGACUAUUUGAUGGCUGGUCUCUUUUCAUUACUUUGUUUGAAUAGAAUGCAGAGUGGACGCCUCUUGUUUGAAUAGUGUUUGAUGUCGAUGUUUUUAAGUCAAAACUUUCACGGUCUAGUUCAUGAUAUAUCUUGUGCUACGAGCUUCUGAAGUCUUAUGUGUUGAAGUUUAAUUAUAGAGCAUUAUACAUAGCUUGAUGUUUUAUUAUGUGGCAUGGUUUGACUUUAUAGUCAUUAAGAGAUCAAAUGAUUUAUACAGGCAUUGAUAAAGUCAACUAGCAGGCUUAGAGAUGCAUUACUUCCUUAAGAUGAACCGAAGUUGGCAACCCCCCCUUGCUUCUUCUUGCUCAGCAGCGAUCUCUGGUUCUCGUCAAUGCAAAUGCACCCUACAUUAAGAUGGUCAGUGAACAGUUUGAUAGAUGCCAUGGAACUAUAGCGUAGAAAAUUGGUGAUAGUACAAUUGUGUUUAAUUAUUUAGGAAUCGAUUGAUGAUAAUACACAUGUAGAAAAUUGUUCACGACAACUUUGUUGAGGCAGUCAAGUUUGUAUUGGUUUUCCUCUUUUCCCUGUUGUCUAUAUUGCUUUGGCUUUAGUACUUAGUGGUUAGGCUGAUUUUUGUAGUCAGUACACUUAUAUGGGCUAGCGAAGAAAAUGGAUAUCACAGUUAUUACUUCCUCACAAGUAAGAUUUUACUUUUAAAUUUUUUGACACUCAUUAAGAGCAAAUCACUAUAGCGGAUACGGCAAGUACUUACUUUAACUUGUUAUAGGAUUAUUUAUAAAAUUAUACACGCACAUUGCUUCUCUGCACACAACUAUGUGAUUUUUAUACAGUUUUAGCAGAGUCAGUUAUUAAACAUUAACACCAGAUCUGGUCAGACUAAUUGUCUUGUCUCUUGUCCUCAGCGUCCUACUUUAAUACCAUUUCAUUCCAUGGAAUUGCGGCUGAUUGAUGGCGAGGGUAAUUGGCAACUCCGUUUGAUCAAGCAAUGAUACUCUGGUAGGUAGUGUUGAUGCAGACUCUCAUAGUUAGAAUAUUUUGCGGAGUCUUGAACAUACUGGCUUAUCGUGAGCGUAAAUAAGGUUGGCCGAUGAUGGUAUCCCCAUUUUCUUCCAUUUUCGUGAGCGUAAACAAGGUUCAAGUUUUGCAGCACCAACCAAAAUGGUUGAUACGAAGUUGAAACAAAACUAUUUAUAGCUGCAGUAUAUUAAGAUCAAUCAUGUACAGUCUCCCCCUUAUAUUCCUAGGUAGUUGAUAUUUAUUCAUAUUUUGUAACCAUUGUUUUAAUAAUAAAAAAAAUAGCUUGAAAUAUAGUAGCUCUUUGAUA